GAUGCUAGCAUUCAUACUUCACACUAUGGAAAUGUAAUUAUUUGGUCUGUGGCCACAGUCUUUGGUGUUUUGUUUAAUGGUUACUGAAAUCACUUGAAUUUUUUCACCUUUUGUGUAAUAAAAUCCAGGAGAUUGUCUUGUUUUCCUGGAAAUGUUAUGUAAACCCAUGCUUGCUAUUAAGUCAUUUUUGCAGUUGAGAAAAUUAGUCAUGUAAUAUUUAUAUAUCUCAUUCAGAAACAGAGGAUUUUGGCAUUUUUGCCAAUGCAGCCCCAAUUCUCAAAUAUGAAAUGUUCCUUUGAGGAAAAAAAACUUUCUUUACCUUUAGUUUCCAUUUUCUUCCUUUGUGGUUAUUCUGCUACUUCUUUGUCUAGUUUUAUAUCCAGCUUUUGUCUAUUGUGUCAUUGUGCUUACUGUCACACAUAUUUCUGUAUUUGAUUGUAUUGUAUUCACACAUCAAUGCUCUUUUAUGCUGCAGCAGCAGCAAACAUUUGCAGAGAAAUAUUUGUUGAUUGUUGUACCAAAUGCUGUGUUUUCUGCCUCCUCCCUGUUUAGGAUCACAGACCAGCUGAGGCAGGAAGGCACCUGUGAAGAUCCUCUGGUCCAAAUUUCUGCUGAAAGCUGACUCAGUGAGAGCAGGUUGCUCAGGACGGUGUCCAUUUGGUUUUGAGUAUCUUCAAGGCUGGAGCAGAAUGGAAGGAUCGGCUCUCUCAAGCUGUAGAAAAUGCUCAGCCUAAUGCAGCACAAGAUAAUAUUUGUCUUCUUUCUACAAUGACACAUUGCUGGUCUUAUGCCCCUGGAUAAUGCUCAACAGCAGCAAACUGUGCUGAACAUCAUUUCUUAGCAGAUGGAACUAGUGAUUUGUCCACACUUGAUCCAGACCCUCACAUUUUCUGCUUUUCCAGUUUUUCUUCACUCAUGGCAUGGUUAGCCAUGAUUACCUAACUCAAAAAAAACCCAAAAACUCGUGGGCAGUGGUGGCUUCUGGUUUGCAUGGACCAAAGUGCAGGAGGGUUUUCUAUCAAUAUUUUGUUAAAAAUACUCAGCAGAUCAAUUGCUUAUUCUGUUGCUACUUUCUGACAAAAUUUUCAAAUGAAUGUUACUGACACAGAAUUUAGAAUAGCUGUAAAAGUUGACUGCUGGAAAGAUGGAAGAGUGAGAAAGUGAUGAAUGUAGAAAUCAGAAUCAAAUUAAGAACCAGUACUUGAGGAAAAAAACAAUGAAAAUUACCCAAUUAUCAGGGGAUGGCUCCACCUAGAAAUUACAGAUAUGUACCAAUGCACCUAAAGAAACCAGACCGCUCUAACACUUCUUGGAUUUCUGCAAUUUUUUGUGGUAUUUUGAUACACUAACAAAAAAAAAAAAAAUCCCUUCUUAGUAGCCUGACUACCUUAAAUUUUAUUGUUACACAGAUGUGUAGUAAACAAAACUAAAAAAGAAAGACCUUAUCUAUUGCAGUCCUGUUUUACAGAUAACAGCUCUUUGCUCGUAAAGCCUGACCAAGUGAGCAGUUGUCACUGAACCAAGAAGUACAUUAGCAGCUGGAUGAAUGAUUUAUUUUUAACAGAGACUAAAUGCAAGCAUUGGAACUAGGAUAUGUAUCAUAUGACAGGAUUCUGUACAGCAGGAAGAGGGCUGGAGUAAUUAAUCCAGGAGACUCCAUCUGGACUGAGAUAUCUCAAAACCAGACUUGCCUGGCACUCAUUUGGAAGAUGGGAAUCCUCACAUUUUAUGUUGAGUAUUCUACUGAUUUAUGUAGAUCAUUCUACUACCUACUGCCUUCAUUUUUUCUUUUCCUUAAUUGCUGGUAGUAGAUCAUUCUACUACUAGCAAGCAAUGAAGGAAGAGGAAAAAUAACUGCAUAUGAUGAAGGCUCUUCCCUGUUUAAAGACUGUUGAUUUACUCAAAUAAUUGAUUAUACUGGUGUAAUGAAUGCAUUGAAAACUGGGUUUUCAGUUCAAGUCAAAUUAAACUUCUACAUAUACUGGAAAGCUUGAAAUGUAUCUGAUUUUGCUGCUGUAAGGAAUAUAAAUAAUUCAUUAUUGUUUUUAUGAUGGAAUACUGGAUAACAUGCUUAUCUCCUUCCCAUAAAAUCUUUCCUUCCAAAGAUCCAAAGGUUUGAAAAUAUCCCCUUUGUCCUAUUGCACAAAUAGGACCUACAUAUAAACUAGGUUAUAAACUUAAGGUGAUAUCUUUAACCUUUUAAAUUUCAAAAUUAAAGGUGGUGUUGUUAAAGGUACAGUCAUACCAAAUAAGAAUAGAGAUAAAAUAAUUUGAUAACCAGAGAGAGCUUACUGUGUACAUACCUGCUUGAGUAUAUGUACAGGCAAAUUGAUUUAUUUUAUGCACUUAUUCCUACUAUUAAAUUUAACAGAAAGCUACAGAAUAUUGUCUUAUCAAAAGAUCCAAAUUUAUCAUUUCUAGACUAUAAACACUUCACCUGCAAAUGACAGGCAGCUGCCUUUGUACUCUCUGACAUAACAGGCCCAGGCUAAGCAGAGGCCAACCAAAGCAGAGUGAGGGCAAACAACUGGCACAUUUGUCUUGAAGAUAAACUCUUGAACUGAAAUAGAAAAUUAAGGGUCAGAACUACUUAGGAUCAAAAUUAAAGCAAUUUCCUCAAGGAAAUUCCUUGUGAGUAGAAUAAUGUGGUAGAGAAGGAAACAUGG